UGCAGCUGCCAAGCGCAAAGACACACCAGGAGAUGAGGGUAUGGUGGGGAUAUUGAGGACCGCGACAUGCCAGCUUCAGCAGGAACACCAGCCUUCACAGAAUCUGCAGGACUUUGCAGUGGACCUGGGUGUCGCCUGGGACACCUGACUGAGGUAUAUGGAGGCAUAUGGAGUGUCAGCCUAAUCAGUGUAACACUUCCUCGUGGAGGUUUCAGACAGGAAGAAGUGCCUUCAGAACCUCUUUGAAGAGCCUCCCAGCACCUCAAGCGUCCCUGGGAAUGCAGGGCUUUCCCAGUCGAAACUCGGAACCACGAGGGCAGCAAAGAGGAGGUCUUCUGAGGCUUUCCCUGAGAACGAUUUGGGGUCUAUGACGAAGCAGAAGUACACUUCCCAGCGCUCAGCAGGGCCUAGUUACAACUCCUGGUCCAGCUCUGCUCCUGGACCCAGAUCUGACCCCUUGCUAAGCUCCACCCCUGGGCCAAGCACUGCCUCCAGACCUUCCUAGCUGGCUUUAUCAUUAAAACGUC